GACGAACGCUGGCGGCGUGCCUAACACAUGCAAGUCGAACGGAAAGGCCCUGCUUUUGUGGGGUGCUCGUGUGGCGAACGCGUGAGUAACACGCGAGUAACCUGCCCUUGAUUUUGGGAUAACUUCAGGAAACUGGGGAUAAUAUCGGAUAGGAGCUCCUGCUGCAUGGUGGGGGUUGGAAAGUUUCGGCGGUUGGGGAUGGACUCGCGGCUUAUCAGCUUGUUGGUGGGGUAGUGGCUUACCAAGGCGUGGACGGGUAGCCGGCCUGAGAGGGUGACCGGCCACAGUGGGACUGAGAUACGGCCAAGACGCCUACGGGAGGCAGCAGUGGAGAAUAUUGCACAAUGGGCGGAAGCCGGAUGCAGCGACGCCGCGUGCGGGAUGACUGCCUUCGGGUUGUAAACCGCUUGCGCCUGUGACGAAGCGUGAGUGACGGUAAUGGGUAAAGAAGCACCGGCUAACUACGUG
rnacentral:rRNA from 1 species